GAUGAACGCUGCGGCGUGCCUAAUACAUGCAAGUCGAGCGAACAGACGAGGAGCUUGCUCCUCUGACGUUAGCGGCGGACGGGUGAGUAACACGUGGAUAACCUACCUAUAAGACUGGGAUAACUUCGGGAAACCGGAGCUAAUACCGGAUAAUAUAUUGAACCGCAUGGUUCAAUAGUGAAAGACGGUUUUGCUGUCACUUAUAGAUGGAUCCGCGCCGCAUUAGCUAGUUGGUAAGGUAACGGCUUACCAAGGCAACGAUGCGUAGCCGACCUGAGAGGGUGAUCGGCCACACUGGAACUGAGACACGGUCCAGACUCCUACGGGAGGCAGCAGUAGGGAAUCUUCCGCAAAGGGCGAAAGCCUGACGGAGCAACGCCGCGUGAGUGAUGAAGGUCUUCGGAUCGUAAAACUCUGUUAUUAGGGAAGAACAAAUGUGUAAGUAACUAUGCACGUCUUGACGGUACCUAAUCAGAAAGCCACGGCUAACUACGUG
rnacentral:rRNA from 1 species